UACAGAGGGUGCAAGCGUUGCUCGGAUUUACUGGGCGUAAAGCGUACGCAGACGGUGAGAAAGGUCGGAUGUGAAAGCCCCGGGCUCAACCCGGGAACUGCAUCCGAAACCAUCUCGCUAGAGUAUGGGAGAGGGAAGCGGAAUUCCUGGUGUAGAGGUGAAAUUCGUAGAUAUCAGGAGGAACACCAAUGGCGAAGGCAGCUCGCUGGGACGGUACUGACGCUGAGGCGCGAAAGCGUGGGGAGCAAAACGG
rnacentral:rRNA from 1 species